rnacentral:tRNA from 1 species
GCCUGGGUGGCUCAGUCGGUGAAGCAUCUGACUUCGGCUCAGGUCACGAUCUCAUGGUUUGUGGGUUCGAGCCCCGUGUCGGGCU